CCUACGGGAGGCUGCAGUGGGGAAUAUUGCACAAUGGGGGAAACCCUGAUGCAGCGACGCCGCGUGAGUGAUGAAGUAUUUCGGUAUGUAAAGCUCUAUCAGCAGGGAAGAUAAUGACGGUACCUGACUAAUAAGCUCCGGCUAAAUACGUGCCAGCAGCCGCGGUAAUACGUAUGGAGCAAGCGUUAUCCGGAUUUACUGGGUGGAAAGGGAGCGCAGACGGCAGGGCAAGUCUGAUGUGAAAGUCCGGGGUUCAACCCCGGGACUGCAUUGGAAACUGUCCGGCUAGAGUGCAGGAGAGGUAAGUGGAAUUCCUAGUGUAGCGGUGAAAUGCGUAGAUAUUAGGAGGAACACCAGUGGCGAAGGCGGCUUACUGGACUGUAACUGACGUUGAGGCUCGAAAGCGUGGGGAGCAAACAGGAUUAGAUACCCCAGUAGUC
rnacentral:rRNA from 1 species